rfam:Ictidomys tridecemlineatus contig070370, whole genome shotgun sequence.
AUUGCUUUUCAGUCUUUGGCUAAGAUCAAGUAUAAUAUCUGUCAUCAGCUUAAUAUCUGAUACAUCUUCUAUCUGAAACAUAUAUAUUUUCAUGUGAGAUUGGAUUUGGAAAUGAGAAUAUUUUAUCAAUAUUCGUUUUCAUCCAUGCUCCAUUUGAGCUUUGAGGCAAGGUCUGCUC